rnacentral:snoRNA from 1 species
UACCCAUGAUGUGGACACUUCAAAAGUAACCCAUUGAAUUGCUCUCAUGCUUCAAAGAAUUGCUCAUCUUCUCUUUGAGUAUUUAUGUACUGAGAAG